UACGUAGGGAGCGAGCGUUAUCCGGAAUUAUUGGGUGUAAAGGGUGCGUAGACGGGAAUACAAGUUAGUUGUGAAAUCCCUCGGCUUAACUGAGGAACUGCAACUAAAACUAUAUUUCUUGAGUGCAGGAGAGGUAAGUGGAAUCCCUAGUGUAGCGGUGAAAUGCGUAGAUAUUAGGAGGAACACCAGUGGCGAAGGCGACUUACUGGACUGUAACUGACGUUGAGGCACGAAAGUGUGGGGAGCAAACAGG
rnacentral:rRNA from 1 species